rnacentral:rRNA from 1 species
AUGGCGAACCAGCUUCUGUCCACCGUCGCGCACCGCGAUACCCUCCCGGAGGGUUACACGCGGCCUGAGAACGACCGGCCGCAGCUCGCGGAUGUGGUGACUGACAGCAACAUCCCCCUCAUCGACCUCGCCUCGCCGGACAAGCAUCUCGUCAUCGCUGAGAUCGACCAGGCUUGCCGCACCUACGGCUUCUUCCAGAUCGUAAAUCAUGGGAUAUCAGAGGAGCUGCUGGAGAAGGUGAUGGCUGUGGGGCUUGAGUUUUUCCGGCUCCCGCCGGAAGAGAAGGCCAAGCUCUAUUCUGAUGAGCCAUCCAAAAAGAUAAGGCUUUCUACAAGCUUCAACGUCCGCAAGGAGACAGUGCACAACUGGCGGGACUAUCUGCGCCUUCAUUGCCACCCGUUGGAGGAGUUCGUGCCGGACUGGCCGUCCAAUCCUGAAACGUUCAAGGAGAUCAUCAGCACCUACUGCCGCGAAGUCCGGCUGCUGGGGCUCCGACUCCUGGGCGCGAUCUCCCUGGGCCUGGGCCUCGAGGAAGACUACAUCGAGAAUGUGCUGGGCGAGCAGGAACAGCACAUGGCCGUCAACGACUACCCGCGGUGCCCCGAGCCGGACCUCACCUACGGCCUGCCCAAGCACACGGACCCCAACGCCCUCACCAUUCUCCUCAUGGACCCCCACGUCUCCGGCCUCCAGGUCCUCAAGAACGGCGCCCAGUGGAUCGCCGUCGACUCCCGGCCCAACGCCCUCGUCGUCAACCUAGGCGACCAGUUGCAGGCGCUGAGCAACGGCGCGUACAAGAGCGUCUGGCACCGCGCGGUGGUCAAUGCGGCGCGGGAGCGCCUGUCGGUGGCAUCUUUCCUGUGCCCGUGCAACAGCACGGUGAUCGGCCCGGCGGCCAAGCUCGUCGGCGACGGGGACGAGCCCGUGUACCGCAGCUACACCUACGACGAGUACUACAAGAAGUUCUGGAGCAGGAACCUGGACCAGGACCAUUGCCUGGAGCUCUUCACGGGUCAGAAGUGA